GACGAACGCUGGCGGCGUGCUUAACACAUGCAAGUCGAACGGAAAGGCCCUGCUUGCAGGGUACUCGAGUGGCGAACGGGUGAGUAACACGUGGGUGAUCUACCCUGCACUCCGGGAUAAGCCUGGGAAACUGGGUCUAAUACCGGAUAGGAGCCAUUCUGAGGGUGAUGGUUGGAAAGUUUUUUCGGUGUAGGAUGAGCUCGCGGCCUAUCAGCUUGUUGGUGGGGUAAUGGCCUACCAAGGCGGCGACGGGUAGCCGGCCUGGGAGGGUGGACGGCCACAUUGGGGCUGAGAUACGGGCCAGGCCCCUACGGGGGGCCGCAGUGGGGAAUAAUGCACCAUGGGGGGCAGCCUGAUGCAGCGACGCCGCGUGGGGGAUGACGGCCUUCGGGUUGUAAACUCCUUUCGCUAGGGACGAAGCUUUUUGUGACGGUACCUAGAUAAGAAGCACCGGCUAACUACGUG
rnacentral:rRNA from 1 species